UACGAAGGGGCUAGCGUUGCUCGGAAUUACUGGGCGUAAAGCGCACGUAGGCGGCUUCUUAAGUCGGUGGUGAAAUCCUGGAGCUCAACUCCAGAACUGCCUUCGAUACUGGGAGCUCGAGUCCGGGAGAGGUGAGUGGAACUGCGAGUGUAGAGGUGAAAUUCGUAGAUAUUCGCAAGAACACCAGUGGCGAAGGCGGCUCACUGGCCCGGUACUGACGCUGAGACGCGAAAGCGUGGGGAGCGAACAGGA
rnacentral:rRNA from 1 species